GAAAACAGGCCUGGCAGAGAUACCCAUUCCAUUCCCUGCUUGCUCGGUAGCUGGUGAUUGGAAGGCACUCUGCAACAGUGCUGAAGCCCU